GACGAACGCUGGCGGCGUGCUUAACACAUGCCAGUCGAACGGAAAGGCCCUGCUUUUGUGGGGUGCUCGAGUGGCGAACGGGUGAGUAACACGUGAGUAACCUGCCCUUGACUUUGGGAUAACUUCAGGAAACUGGGGCUAAUACCGGAUAGGAGCUCCUGCUGCAUGGUGGGGGUUGGUAAGUUUCGGCGGUUGGGGAUGGACUCGCGGCUUAUCAGCUUGUUGGUGGGGUAGUGGCUGCCCAAGGCUUUGACGGGUAGCCGGCCUGAGAGGGUGAACGGCCACAUUGGGACUGAGAUACGGCCCAGACGCCUACGGGAGGCAGCAGUGGGGAAUAUUGCACAAUGGGCGGAAGCCUGAUGCAGCAACGCCGCGUGCGGGAUGACGGCCUUCGGGUUGUAAACCGCUUUCGCCUGUGACGAAGCGUGAGUGACGGUAAUGGGUAAAGAAGCACCGGCUAACUACGUG
rnacentral:rRNA from 1 species